rnacentral:lncRNA from 1 species
ACUGCAGUGCUCUUUGCAUCGCAUAUGGUUCAUCAAACAAUCUUUAAUUUCAUCAUUCAUUACUGUAUCCAACUUCUUAGCUUUCAGCUUCCUUUUAUGACUCAGCUUGAUGUACUUGUUCUUUUGGGAGAACGCUUUGUUAACUCUAAUGUUAAGAUCAGCCAAAGUGGCCUCGUCUUCAACACAUUUAUGGUGCCAUGAAUUGAUCAGUCUGGAAUUAUAAUCCAGCUUGCUACUGACGGCAUGUAUUGCCUCUAACGGAUCAUUGGAGUUCCCCUCACGCCCAGAAGAUGUUGAAAAUGGAAGGGGUCGGCGAAUUGGACGCGGAAAUUGAACAUGC